AGAGUUUGAUCCUGGCUCAGAGUGAACGCUGGCGGCGUGCCUAACACAUGCAAGUCGGAUGUGCCUUUCGGGGUGCAUGGCAGACGGGUGAGUAACGCGUAGGGAAUCUACCUUUUCGUGGGGAAUAACGUUCCGAAAGGAAUGGUAAUACCGCAUAAGACCAAUGGCUGGGAUGCUGUUGGUGAAAGCCGGGGACCUUCGGGCCUGGCGCGAGAAGAGGAUCCUGCGUCUGAUUAGCUAGUUGGUGGGGUAACGGCCUACCAAGGCGACGAUCAGUAGCCGGCCUGAGAGGGUGAUCGGCCACACUGGAACUGAGACACGGUCCAGACUCCUACGGGAGGCAGCAGUGGGGAAUUUUGCGCAAUGGACGAAAGUCUGACGCAGCAACGCCGCGUGGGUGAUGAAGGUCUUCGGAUUGUAAAACCCUGUCGUCAGGGACGAAGGUAGGGGGUUUAAUACGCCCUUUGCUUGACGGUACCUGGAGAGGAAGCCCCGGCUAACUCUGUGCCAGCAGCCGCGGUAA
rnacentral:rRNA from 1 species